ACGGGAGGCAGCAGUGGGGAAUAUUGCACAAUGGGCGCAAGCCUGAUGCAGCAACGCCGCGUGAGCGAUGAAGGUCUUCGGAUCGUAAGGCUCUGUCCUUGGGGACGAAGAAAGUGACGGUACCUAAGGAGGAAGCCCCGGCUAACUACGUGCCAGCAGCCGCGGUAAUACGUAGGGGGCGAGCGUUAUCCGGAAUUAUUGGGCGUAAAGAGUACGUAGGUGGUUUAGUAAGCGUGAGGUGAAAGCCCGGGGCUUAACUCCGGCGAGCCUCAUGAACUGCAAGACAUGAGUGCAGGAGGGGUAAGUGGAAUUCCUGGUGUAGCGGUGAAAUGCGUAGAUAUCAGGAAGAACACCGGUGGCGAAGGCGACUUACUGGACUGUAACUGACACUGAGGUACGAAAGCGUGGGGAGCAAACAGGAUUAGAUACCCUGGUA
rnacentral:rRNA from 1 species